rnacentral:misc_RNA from 1 species
GAAUACUAUCUCUGGGUAUGUGCAGCGAAUUCGAAAUUUUUUUUUUCACUAAUUAUGUUAUAAUACCAUGAAAGAGCAGCUAACCAUUAGUAUGAAACUUAAAGAGUGUUGCAUACAUGAACAAGUAUGAAAGAAAUAUAGCUGUUACUGAAGACCUCUUCAUUUGGAAAUGUAAAGUGGCUUGCUUUUGUUUUAUGUGUGUGAAGAUGUGAUGGACUUGGAGAAAAAUUAUUAAUAUCUUAUAUAUUUCUCAUGACAGAUCUAAAUUUAGUAGUUAGAAUUUUCAUACUGAUCCAGAAUAGUGUUGCUUCAGUUGAUUUUUAACUUCCAUCUCGCGCGCGUGUGUGUGUGUAAGUUAUUAUUUCUCAAUGCUAUUUCCAUAUACUUUAUUUUUGCUUCUAGACGGCAAGAGAAGACAGU